rnacentral:rRNA from 1 species
UACGUAGGUGGCGAGCGUUGUCCGGAUUUACUGGGCGUAAAGGGAGCGUAGGCGGACUUUUAAGUCAGAUGUGAAAACCACGGGCUCAACCUGUGGCCUGCAUUUGAAACUGUUUUUCUUGAGUACUGGAGAGGCAGACGGAAUUCCUCGUGUAGCGGUGAAAUGCGUAGAUAUGAGGAGGAACACCAGUGGCGAAGGCGGUCUGCUGGACAGCAACUGACGCUGAGGCGCGAAAGCGUGGGGAGCAAACAGG